CGUCCUGACCACCAGUGAAAUAUCAGAAUUUGAAAAUGUUGUUGUAUCAUAAACUGAUUUGCGAUGUUAUGUAUGGAAUGAGAAUUCAUUAUGGAACAAAAUUUGUUUAUUUCAUGGACUUUUUCAUUCAUAAUUUUGUAAUUUUUUUUUUUUUUUUGCUCUGACGCACAGUUGACAAAAAAGGUAUUAAAUGUGAAAUUUCCAUGUUCUGAGUCACUCUGUAGUUUUGGUGAAAUUCGAUGCUAUCGAUAGUUAGCAACGUUGCUAACUUCACGCAGGUUAUAAAUUGUCAAAAGUGCACAGUAGCAUACCGCACAGUAGCAUAUCGUUGACAUACUGUAUUAGAACAAGACGAUAAUAAUUCGAAGGUUAUAUGUUAUCAUUCGAAGUACAUAACACUAUCACAUAAAAAAAGAAGAAUACUCAAUAAAAAAAAUUAAAAAAAAGACACCUCAGUAGUCCUACAAUUGAGAAUGUGCUUGUGCUUCGUCUAGGACAGAUUUAAGUGUAAGAAUAUACGAAAAGACCCUUUGGAACUUGACAUCCGCAAAAGGAAAAACUUCUAAAAAAACCAGUGUCAUCAACACGCCGGAAGCUGAACAAUAAGAUCCCAUCCGACUUGCCCAACAAUGAAGAUCAUAAAUGAUUUAAUGAUUUGCUUGCUUAUCUUCUUUAUUAUUACUGGAGAUUCCGAUCCAUAUAUAGCACCUGUAAAAAAUUGUAGGUGUCUCAUAGGUCCGACAAAACAAUGUGCGGGAAAACUUUUAUGUGCAUUGCACAUUAAAAGUUUGCAAGGAAAGAAAGAAAGAAAUGAAUGGCCGAAAGAAGAGGAAGCAUAAAUAAGAUGUCACAGCUAAAAAACGGUUAAGGUGGAAAAAACAUAAAGCGCUGAUUUGUCUGGCUUAAGUCAUCGGCUGGCUUCUUCGAAAAUGAACAAUGGGGAUUGGGGCCAAAAUCGAACUAUGUUAACCUAAAACUCCUUCGUUAAGUCACCGGAUGGCUUUUCCUACUUUCACCCAAAAAAAAAAAGCCAGCCUGCAACUUGUGCCACUAAACAUCCUCUUUUGUGGUCACGUCUUUAUGUAUCUCCACCUUGACUCAGUCCACACUGCCAAUGAUUUGCGGUGAAUAAAUAAUUUACUUUGCGAAAUAGAAUAAUA
rnacentral:sRNA from 1 species